GAUGAACGCUGGCGGCGUGCCUAAUACAUGCAAGUCGAGCGAACAGACGAGGAGCUUGCUCCUCUGACGUUAGCGGCGGACGGGUGAGUAACACGUGGAUAACCUACCUAUAAGACUGGGAUAACUUCGGGAAACCGGAGCUAAUACCGGAUAAUAUAUUGAACUGCAUGGUUCAAUAGUGAAAGACGGUUUUGCUGUCACUUAUAGAUGGAUCCGCGCCGCAUUAGCUAGUUGGUAAGGUAACGGCUUACCAAGGCAACGAUGCGUAGCCGACCUGAGAGGGUGAUCGGCCACACUGGAACUGAGACACGGUCCAGACUCCUACGGGAGGCAGCAGUAGGGAAUCUUCCGCAAUGGGCGAAAGCUUGACGGAGCAACGCCGCGUGAGUGAUGAAGGUCUUCGGACCGUAAAACUCUGUUAUUAGGGAAGAACAAAUGUGUAAGUAACUAUGCACGUCUUGACGGUACCUAAUCAGAAAGCCACGGCUAACUACGUG
rnacentral:rRNA from 1 species